UCACAGGAAACAGCUAUGACCAUGAUUACGCCAAGCUUGGUACCGAGCUCGGAUCCACUAGUAACGGCCGCCAGUGUGCUGGAAUUCGGCUUAUUACCGCGGCUGCUGGCACGGAGUUAGCCGAGGCUUAUUCCUUAGGUACCGUCAGGUUUCUUCCCUAAGAAAAGCGGUUUACGACCCAAGGGCCUUCCUCCCGCACGCGGUAUUGCUCCGUCAGGCUUUCGCCCAUUGCGGAAAAUUCCCCACUGCUGCCUCCCGUAGGAAGCCGAAUUCUGCAGAUAUCCAUCACACUGGCGGCCGCUCGAGCAUGCAUCUAGAGGGCCCAAUUCGCCCUAUAGUGAGUCGUAUUACAAUUCACUGGCCGUCGUUUUACAACGUCA
rnacentral:rRNA from 1 species